CGGCUACCUGCAGCCUGCCUCUUGCCCACCGCCAAACCCUAAAGGUUUGGAAAAUCCAAGCCUUAAAAAGUAGGCGGCGGGAAGGGCCGAGAAGGGCACGAGAUGUCCGAAAAGAGACCACCUCGAAGGUAAUUAAUCCAAUGUUCCCAUUGCGGGGGCCUCUCUUGACCCCAUUUUUCUCCUUCCGGAGCGCUCCGCAGAGCGCUGGCAAGGAAGGGCGCGCCAAGCAGACAGAGCCCAAGGCGCCCUCCAAGAACGCGCGCUACUUGGAAUCCCCCUGCCGGAAACCCGCAAAGCUGGAAAGCACCUCAUCUCAGCCCCUCAUUGCACCAAUAAGGAAGUAGGUCCCAGCGAAAAGAGGCGGCAGGGGCGGAACACACGAGCGACAGAGCUACCGUAAUUUAUUGUUAUAGAUUUGUACAACCAGAUCAGUCCUUGAAGGAUGGGAAAGAGCACUGAUAAUCACAGAAGCAAAAGUGAUCCUUCACCAAAGGUAGCUUGAGAAGCACAGAGGCCUCAUCAGUAGCCUAAGAACAAUGAAGGGAAAAGACAUAUGCGACCCAAUAACAGAGCUUUCCUCAGGUUCCAGUGUCAGUUCUUUUCUUUUCUUUCUUUUUUUUAUUUUUCUGGCCUGCACCGCUUGGCAUGUGGGAUCUUAGUUCCCUGACCACGGAACGAACCUGAGCCUUCUGCCCUGGAAGCUCAGAGUCUUAACCACUGGACCGCCAGGAAAUACACUCUGGGACUUCUCUGGUGGUGCAAUGGUUAAGAAUCUGCCU